UACAUAGGGUGCAAGCGUUAAUCCGAAUUACUGGGCGUAAAGCGUGCGUAGGCGGUUAUUUAAGUCUGAUGUGAAGGCCCUCGGCUCAACUGGGGAAUUGCAUUGGAAACUAGCUGGCUGGAGUACCGGAGAGGGAAGCGGAAUUCCUGGUGUAGCGGUGAAAUGCGUAGAUACCAGGAGGAACACCGGUGGCGAAGGCGGCUUCCUGGCCGAGUACUGACGCUGAGGCACGAAAGCGUGGGGAGCGAACGGG
rnacentral:rRNA from 1 species